UACGAACUGUGCGAACGUUAUUCGGAAUCACUGGGCUUACAGGGUGCGUAGGCGGCUUUUCAAGUCAGGUGUGAAAGCCCCCGGCUCAACCGGGGAAUUGCGCUUGAAACUGGAGAGCUCGAGUCAGCUAGAGGUGCACGGAACUUCCAGUGGAGCGGUGAAAUGUGUUGAUAUUGGAAGGAACACCGGAGGCGAAAGCGAUGCACUGGGGCUGGUCUGACGCUGAGGCACGAAAGCCAGGGGAGCGAACGGG
rnacentral:rRNA from 1 species